rnacentral:pre_miRNA from 1 species
AUUAUACUCCCUCCGUCCGAAAAUACUUGUCAUCAAAAUGGACAAAAAGGGAUGUAUCUAAAACCAAAAUACAUCUAGAUACAUCCUUUUUAUCCAUUUUGAUGACAAGUAUUUCUGGGCGGAGGGAGUAUAUA